UUCCAUUAGACCCGCAUGGACCGUAAGUAUUGCUGAUGAUGCUAUCCAUGAAACGAGACCCUCGCUCCAGAAGAAAGCAAGAAAAUGUUGAAGCACGCGCUUGAGCGCCUUCUGAGAAACUCGGAGAGAAAUUUACGAUCUUCGUUCUCGCUAUCAUCAUCAAGAAUUAUGAGACGGAGGAGUUUGUGCACGAAAUCUGCCCGAGCAGAGAGUGGAAGGGAGAGAGCGGAGUGCGUGGUGAUUGGGGCCGGUGUGGUGGGACUAGCAGUGGCCAGAGAGCUCGCUCUCAGAGGCAAGGAAGUACUGGUUCUCGAUUCCGCCCCCACUUUCGGCACCGGCACCAGCUCUCGCAACAGCGAAGUCAUCCACGCCGGCAUUUACUACCCUCCCCAUUCUCUCAAGGCAAUUCUCUGUGUAAGAGGAAGAGAAAUGCUGUACAAGCUCUGCUCUGAGCAUGACAUUCCUCAUAAGCAAAUUGGUAAGCUCAUAGUUGCCACUGGAGCCUCAGAGAUUCCAAAGUUGAAUAAUUUAAUGAAUCUUGGAAUUCAGAAUGGGGUUAAUGGCUUGAGGAUGAUAGAGAGUUCUGAAGCCAAGAGAAUGGAACCUGAACUGCAAUGUGUCAAAGCCUUACUAUCACCUGUUUCUGGGAUUGUUGAUACUCAUUCCCUAAUGCUAUCUCUAGUGGGGGAAGCUGAAAGUCAUGGAACAACCUUCUCCUUUAAUACUACUGUCAUUGGUGCCCAUCUCGAAAGAAACAACUUGUGCCUCCAUGUUUCUGAUACAAAACGCCUUGAGAACUGGAAUGGAAGAUUUCUACUGCACCCGGACCUAGUAGUCAUUCCAGAGUUUGUAGUGAACUGCACAGGCUUGAGUGCACCUGCCCUUGCAAAGAGAUUUGAUGGCCUGCAUAGUGGAGUUAUUCCCCUUGCAUAUUAUGCCCGGGGCUGCUAUUUCACACUCUCUAGUACCAGGAAUCCUCCUUUCAGUCAUUUGAUAUACCCAAUACCUGAAGAUGGUGGCCUUGGAGUGCAUGUUACUGUGGAUCUGGAUGGGCAAGUCAAGUUUGGUCCAGAUGUUGAAUGGAUCAAAGGUAUAGAUGAUAUUUCAAGCUUCCUGAACAGGUUUGAGUAUUCUGUAUGCCCUGAUCGUGCCAAGCAAUUUUACCCAGAGAUAAGAAAGUACUACCCGAAUCUGACAGAUGGAUCUCUAGAACCGGGAUAUGCUGGGAUUCGACCUAAACUGUCAGGACCUCAGCAGUCUCCUGUUGAUUUUGUAAUACAGUUGACAGGUUAGAGGAACUUCAGUGAGAAUCUUUUUGAAGCUGGUAUUAGAGAAGGGUUCAAGUAUCAUCUUUUUGAAUCAGGGGAGUUUGGAAUUAUGAGCUAAUAAUGUUCCCAUGGAAAUGGCUGAGGAGAUAUGCAGUGAAGAAUUAUUCUUCUUGAAGGCAGGAAUUAAAGGUGUAAGGAAAAUAAUGGCUCACACGAGCAAUCUGAGACUCUUGUUGAGACAAUUCCUUCGUCAUUAGAGUUGAGGAAUUCAGAAGGGCAGUUGACAGAAACAAAUAGGUCUCCACAGUUAUCAUAUAUGAGUUACAUGAACCGUUGGCUUAGGCCAGUCUUUGAAGCUCUUGAUUUACCGGAAGUCCUGAAGACAUCAGAAGAAAUCCCCACACUGGAGUUGAAACCACUACCCAAGGACUUGAACUAUAUUUUUCUGGGCCCAGUUGAGGGCACGUUUCCGGUAGUCAUUUCUUCUCAGCUCACUUCAAAGCAGGAAGCCGAAUUAUUGGCAGUGAUGAGACAACAUCGAGGUGGACUAUCACAGACAACAAGGGUAUUGAUCCUUCAAUAUGUACCCACAACAUUUUUCUGGAAGAAGAUGCGAGACCAACUCGUGAUGCAUAGCAGAGGUUGAAUCCCACCAUGAAGGAGGUGGUAAAGCAAGAGGUGCUGAAAUUGUUAGUUGUGGGCAUCAUCUAUCCUAUCUUCGACAGCAAGUGGAGUUCAACAACAUCACCAUAAAGGACAAGAAAGGGGUCAAAAAUGUAGUGGCUGACCAUCUCUCCAGAUUACCACCAUCCUCCACUUCAAAAGUCAUCCUUCAUCUUGAUAAUAGUUUCCCGGAUGAGCAGUUAUUUGCAAUUCAAAAAGCUCUCUGGUUUGCUGACAUAGUCAACUAUUUGGUGACUGAACAAAUGCCCUCUGAAUGAUCCAUCCAAGAUAAGCGCCGAUUCCUCUAUGAGCUACAUGGGGCUGAAAUCCUGGAGGUGCUACAAAAGGAUAGCUCUGAGAAGUCUGAUAUGGUUGUUGCUGGUGCUGAGGAACAGCCUGAUGAAAUGACUGCUGAGAAGAUGGUAGAGACCGGCAAGGCUGAUCAUUCUUCCAUGAGAAAUUUGGGGUGAAGACGCUCAUGGGAUACCUGGUCUUAUUAACCUUUUUGGGAUUGAGUCACCUGGUUUGACUUCAUGCUUGGCAAUUGCAGAACAU